CGGAAGUUGGAACCGGAAGUUACAGCUGGGGUCUCUGAGCUUCCGGAAUGCGGAGGGCAGGCCUGAGUUCUUACAGUGAGGACGGUUUUACGCCUAAGAGAGUGAAAAGCCUUGUGGGAAGAGCACAUCCAACGUCACCGAGAACGGCAGCAGGUAGCAAGGGACAAGGGAUGAAAACUUGCAUUAAUCCUGACUGCACAGAAUGCCAUGCCUGACAUGGAGGCCUGGGACCAUUGUGGGGCCUCAGUGUGACCAGUCCAUACCCAUGGAUGUCUGUCACAGCUAUGGACCAGAUCCAUCCCAGCCCAUGCUGUCCCUGCUGACGGCGGAGGAAACUGAC